rnacentral:snoRNA from 1 species
UUGCAAUGAUGUAUGAAUUUCUUCACCUGAAACUCUACCAUGUAGAGCAAACCAUAUGAGCUUUUUAACCCUGAGCAAU